rnacentral:rRNA from 1 species
UGAACCUAGUGAUGUAUGGAUUAGUGGCGGACGGGUGAGUAACGCGUGGAUAACCUGCCGUAUACAGGGGGAUAACACUUAGAAAUAGGUGCUAAUACCGCAUAAGCGCACGGUUCCGCAUGGAACAGUGUGAAAAACUCCGGUGGUAUACGAUGGAUCCGCGUCUGAUUAGCCAGUUGGCGGGGUAACGGCCCACCAAAGCGACGAUCAGUAGCCGGCCUGAGAGGGUGAACGGCCACAUUGGGACUGAGACACGGCCCAAACUCCUACGGGAGGCAGCAGUGGGGAAUAUUGCACAAUGGGGGAAACCCUGAUGCAGCGACGCCGCGUGAGUGAAGAAGUAUCUCGGUACGUAAAGCUCUAUCAGCAGGGAAGAAAAUGACGGUACCUGACUAAGAAGCCCCGGCUAACUACGUGCCAGCAGCCGCGGUAAUACGUAGGGGGCAAGCGUUAUCCGGAUUUACUGGGUGUAAAGGGAGCGUAGACGGCAGCGCAAGUCUGGAGUGAAAUGCCGGGGCUCAACCCCGGAACUGCUUUGGAAACUGUGCAGCUCGAGUGCAGGAGAGGUAAGCGGAAUUCCUAGUGUAGCGGUGAAAUGCGUAGAUAUUAGGAGGAACACCAGUGGCGAAGGCGGCUUACUGGACUGUAACUGACGUUGAGGCUCGAAAGCGUGGGGAGCAAACAGGAUUAGAUACCCUGGUAGUCCACGCCGUAAACGAUGAUUACUAGGUGUCGGGGGGCCAAGGCCCUCCGGUGCCGCCGCAAACGCA